rnacentral:rRNA from 1 species
AAAGGAAUAGACGGGGACCCGCACAAGCAGCGGAGCAUGUGGUUUAAUUCGAAGCAACGCGAAGAACCUUACCAAGGCUUGACAUAUAUAUGAAUAGUAUAGAGAUAUGCUAGAUACUUUUUAAGUGACAUAUAUACAGGUGGUGCAUGGUUGUCGUCAGCUCGUGUCGUGAGAUGUUGGGUUAAGUCCCGUAACGAGCGCAACCCUUGUCAUUAGUUGCCAGCAUUAAGUUGGGGACUCUAAUGAGACUGCCGGUGAUUAAACCGGAGGAAGGUGAGGACGACGUCAAAUCAUCAUGCCCUUUAUGUCUUGGGCUACACACGUGCUACAAUGGUUAGAACAGAGUGAAGCGACCUAGUGAUAGCAAGCGAAUCACAUAAAACUAAUCCCAGUUCGGAUUGCAGUCUGCAACUCGACUGCAUGAAGUAGGAGUUGCUAGUAAUCACAAAUCAGAAUGUUGUGGUGAAUGCGUUUCCGGGUCUUGUACACACCGCCCGU